rnacentral:hammerhead_ribozyme from 1 species
AUCCAGUUGACGAGUCCCAAAUAGGACGAAAAGCGCAUCCUGGAU